AGCGGCGGAUGGGUGAGUAACACGUGGGGAACCUGCCCCUAAGUCUGGGAUACCAUUUGGAAACAGGUGCUAAUACCGGAUAAUAAAGCAGAUCGCAUGAUCAGCUUUUGAAAGGCGGCGUAAGCUGUCGCUAAGGGAUGGCCCCGCGGUGCAUUAGCUAGUUGGUAAGGUAACGGCUUACCAAGGCGACGAUGCGUAGCCGAGUUGAGAGACUGAUCGGCCACAUUGGGACUGAGACACGGCCCAAACUCCUACGGGAGGCAGCAGUAGGGAAUCUUCCACAAUGGACGCAAGUCUGAUGGAGCAACGCCGCGUGAGUGAAGAAGGUUUUCGGAUCGUAAAGCUCUGUUGUUGGUGAAGAAGGAUAGAGGUAGUAACUGGCCUUUAUUUGACGGUAAUCAACCAGAAAGUCACGGCUAACUACGUGCCAGCAGCCGCGGUAAUACGUAGGUGGCAAGCGUUGUCCGGAUUUAUUGGGCGUAAAGCGAGCGCAGGCGGAAAAAUAAGUCUAAUGUGAAAGCCCUCGGCUUAACCGAGGAACUGCAUCGGAAACUGUUUUUCUUGAGUGCAGAAGAGGAGAGUGGAACUCCAUGUGUAGCGGUGGAAUGCGUAGAUAUAUGGAAGAACACCAGUGGCGAAGGCGGCUCUCUGGUCUGCAACUGACGCUGAGGCUCGAAAGCAUGGGUAGCGAACAGGAUUAGAUACCCUGGUAGUCCAUGCCGUAAACGAUGAGUGCUAAGUGU
rnacentral:rRNA from 1 species